rnacentral:rRNA from 1 species
UACGUAGGUGGCAAGCGUUGUCCGGAUUUAUUGGGUUUAAAGGGUGCGUAGGUGGCCCUGUAAGUCAGUGGUGAAAUAUCUCAGCUUAACUGAGAGGGUGCCAUUGAUACUGCAGGGCUUGAGUACAGAUGAGGUAGGCGGAAUUGACGGUGUAGCGGUGAAAUGCAUAGAUAUCGUCAAGAACACCGAUAGCGAAGGCAGCUUACCAAGCUGUAACUGACACUGAGGCACGAAAGUGUGGGGAUCAAAC